rnacentral:tRNA from 1 species
GGGCCGCUAGCUCAAUUGGGAGAGCACCGUCUUGUCAGGUCGGGGGUUAUGGGUUCGAGCCCCAUGCGGUCCACCA